rnacentral:rRNA from 1 species
UACGUAGGGUGCAAGCGUUGUCCGGAUUUAUUGGGCGUAAAGAGCUCGUAGGCGGUUCGGUAAGUCGGGUGUGAAAACUCUGGGCUCAACCCAGAGAUGCCACCCGAUACUGCUGUGACUUGAGUCUGGUAGGGGAGCACGGAAUUCCUGGUGUAGCGGUGAAAUGCGCAGAUAUCAGGAGGAAUACCGGUGGCGAAGGCGGCAUCCUGGACCGGCAUUGACGCUGAGGAGCGAAAGCUAGGGGAGCAAACGGG